GAUGAACGCUGGCGGCGUGCCUAAUACAUGCAAGUCGAGCGAACAGACGAGGAGCUUACUCCUCUGACGUUAGCGGCGGACGGGUGAGUAACACGUGGAUAACCUACCUAUAAGACUGGGAUAACUUCGGGAAACCGGAGCUAAUACCGGAUAACAUGUUGAACCGCAUGGUUCAACAGUGAAAGACGGUCUUGCUGUCACUUAUAGAUGGAUCCGCGUCGCAUUAGCUAGUUGGUAAGGUAACGGCUUACCAAGGCAACGAUGCGUAGCCGACCUGAGAGGGUGAUCGGCCACACUGGAACUGAGACACGGUCCAGACUCCUACGGGAGGCAGCAGUAGGGAAUCUUCCGCAAAGGGCGAAAGCCUGACGGAGCAACGCCGCGUGAGUGAAGAAGGUCUUCGGAUCGUAAAACUCUGUUAUUAGGGAAGAACAAAUGUGUAAGUAACUAUGCACGUCCUGACGGUACCUAAUCAGAAAGCCACGGCUAACUACGUG
rnacentral:rRNA from 1 species